AUACUGCAAGUCGAGCGAAUGAUGAGGAGCUUGCUCCUCUGAUUUAGCGGCGGACGGGUGAGUAACACGUGGGUAAUCUGCCUGUAAGACGGCGAUAACUCCGGGAAACCGGGGCUAAUACCGGAUAACAAGAGAAGAUGCAUAUCUUCUUUUUGAAAGUCGGUUUCGGCUGACACUUACAGAUGAGCCCGCGGCGCAUUAGCUAGUUGGUGAGGUAACGGCUCACCAAGGCGACGAUGCGUAGCCGACCUGAGAGGGUGAUCGGCCACACUGGGACUGAGACACGGCCCAGACUCCUACGGGAGGCAGCAGUAGGGAAUCUUCGGCAAUGGGCGAAAGCCUGACCGAGCAACGCCGCGUGAGCGAUGAAGGCCUUCGGGUCGUAAAGCUCUGUUGUUAGAGAAGAACAAGUACGAGAGUAACUGCUCGUACCUUGACGGUACCUAACCAGAAAGCCACGGCUAACUACGUGCCAGCAGCCGCGGUAAUACAUAUGUGGCAAGCGUUAUCCGGAAUUAUUGGGCGUAAAGCGCGCGCAGGCGGUCUCUUAAGUCUGAUGUGAAAGCCCACGGCUCAACCGUGGAGG
rnacentral:rRNA from 1 species